GCUGGCGGAACGCUUUACACAUGCAAGUCGAACGUUAACGUGGGGAGGUAGUUGUUCCACCCCGACCACCAGAGGGGAGAGGGUGGUUAGUACAUCUGACCGAGGCCGCUCGUGGGGUACAGCCAACCGAAAGGUUGGCUAAUACCGGAUGAGUUCUACAGAAGAAAGACGGGCACCCCUCAGGGCCUCUCACGAGCGGAGCGGCCAAUGACUGAUUAGCCUGUUGGCGAGGCAACGGCUCAACAAAGCACCGAUCGGUAUCUGGUCUGACAGGACGACCAGCCACACUGGGACUGACACACACGCCCACACUCCUACGGGAGGCAGCAAUGUGGGAAUUUUGGACAAUGGGCUGCAAGCACUGCAUCCAGCUAUUCCGCGUGUGGGAUGAAGGCCCUCGGGUUGUAAACCACUUUUGUAAAGAACGAAAAGACAUCUUCGAAUAAAGGAUGUUGCUGACGGUACUCUAAGAAUAAGCACCGGCUAACUACGUGCCACCAGCCGCGGUAAUACGUAGGGUGCGAGCGUUAAUCGGAAUUACUGGGCGUAAAGGGUGCGCAUGCGGUUGAGUAAGACAGAUGUGAAAUCCCCGAGCUUAACUCGGGAAUGGCAUAUGUGACUGCUCGACUAGAGUGUGUCAUAGGGAGGUGGAAUUCCACGUGUAGCAGUGAAAUGCGUAGAUAUGUGGAAGAACACCGAUGGCGAACGCUGCCUCCUGGGACAUAACUGACGCUCAGGCACGAAAGCGUGGGGAGCAAACAGGAUUAGAUACAGUGGUAGUCCGUGCCCUAAAUGAUGUUAGAGUAGUGUGUUGGGAUGUAACAAUCUCAGUGACGCAGCCAACGAAGAUGAAGUUAACGGCGUGGGAAGUACGGUAGCAAGAAUUCAACUCAAAGGAAGUGGCGGGGACACGCGCAAGCGGUGGAUGAUGUGGAUUAAUUCGAUGCGACGCGAAAAACCUUAUCUUGCCUUGACAUGUCAGGAAGAUAUAGUAAUGAGAGCGUUCCGGCAAGGGAGCUUCGAGCACAGGUGUGUGCAUGGUCGUCGUCAGCUGGGGUAGUGAGAUGUUGGUUUAAGUCCCGCGAGCGAGCGCAAUCCUUGUCUCUAGUUGGUUAGAAAGGGCACUCUAGUGAGACUGCCGGUGACAAACCGGAGGAAGGUGGGGAUGACGUCAAAGUUCCUCAUGGCCCUUAUGGGUC
rnacentral:rRNA from 1 species